AGAGUUCGAUCCUGGCUCAGAACGAACGCUGGCGGCGCGUCUUAAGCAUGCAAGUCGGGCGGGAUCCACGCGCUUGCGCGUGGUGAGAGCGGCGGACUGGCGAGUAACACGUGGGCGACGCGCCCUCCGGACGGGAAUAGCCUGCAGAAAUGCAGGGUAAUGCCGGAUGCGAACGCACGGGCUGGAGCCGUGCGUGGAAAGCCCCCACGGGGGCGCCGGAGGAGCGGCCCGCGGCCCAUCAGCUGGUAGGCGGUGCAAGGGACCACCUAGGCUACGACGGGUACCCGGCCUCAGAGGGCGGACGGGCGCAUUGGGACUGAGAUACGGCCCAGACUCCUACGGGAGGCAGCAGCUAAGAAUAUUCCGCAAUGGGGGGAACCCUGACGGAGCGACGCCGCGUGGGCGAGGAAGGCCGGAAGGUUGUAAAGCCCUUUUGCGCGCGAGGAAUAAGGGGAGGAGGGAAUGCCUUCCCGGUGACUGUAGCGCGCGAAUAAGCGCCGGCUAAUUACGUGCCAGCAGCCGCGGUAACACGUAAGGCGCGAGCGUUGUUCGGAAUCAUUGGGCGUAAAGGGCGUGUAGGCGGCCCUGCAAGCCUGGCGUGAAAUCCCGGGGCCCAACCCCGGAACCGCGCUGGGAACUGCUGGGCUUGAGCCGCUGUGGCGCAGCCGGAAUUCCAGGUGUAGGGGUGAAAUCUGUAGAUAUCUGGAAGAACACCGAUGGCGAAGGCAGGCUGCGAGCGGACGGCUGACGCUGAGGCGCGAAGGCGCGGGGAGCGAACAGGAUUAGAUACCCUGGUAGUCCGCGCAGUAAACGAUGCACACUGGGUGUCCGGGCAUGAGCCCGGGUGCCGAAGCGAACGCGUUAAGUGUGCCGCCUGGGGAGUAUGCCCGCAAGGGUGAAACUCAAAGGAAUUGACGGGGGCCCGCACAAGCGGUGGAGCAUGUGGUUUAA
rnacentral:rRNA from 1 species